rnacentral:rRNA from 1 species
CACGUAGGGGACGAGCGUUGUCCGGAUUCAUUGGGCGUAAAGCGCGUGUAGGCGGCUCGGUAAGUCUGCUGUGAAAGUCCAGGGCUCAACCCUGGGAUGCCGGUGGAUACUGUCGAGCUCGAGUCCGGAAGAGGCGAGUGGAAUUCCUGGUGUAGCGGUGAAAUGCGCAGAUAUCAGGAGGAACACCAAUGGCGAAGGCAGCUCGCUGGGACGUGACUGACGCUGAGACGCGAAAGCUAGGGGAGCGAACAGG